GGGCAGGUAGCUCAGUGGUAGAGCACUUGACAUUGGUGUAGGAGGUCCUGGGUUUCAAUCCCCGGCUUGUCCA
rnacentral:tRNA from 1 species